GAUUUUAUUUAUUAUGUCAAGUUCUUUCUGCAUCCGACAAUAGGUGAACUACAAGCUCCAGGGGUGGAUCAACAACGUGCGGGGUCCCCAUAGUGUAGGUGAAGAAAGAUGCUGGAUGUUAUGAGCAAUUCCUCUGCGGAGGUUUAGGGGACACUGGAACUAUUAAGCACUUUUUGUAAUGUGCCGCACAUAGCCUGAAUUUGGUAGCAACAAAUGACUGCAAAAAGGCUCUAAAGCCAAUAAGUGGAGAAUAAGCAAUAUUAUCCUACCUUUGCUAAGCUGACAAAGAGAUUACUACAACCAAUACCCCAAAUUCUCCAACACCGUCAGCGAGAAAAAAAAUUAUUAUUGAAAGAUAUCUAACUCUGAAGAUCUCAGAGCAAUGGAUGAUUCAGAAUCUGUAGCCAACCAAACAGUGCAGACGGAAAUGGCUUCUUGUAGCUAAAAUAUAAAAAGACCAAGGAGAACUGUCACUGUUGAGCAAGAAGUUAACCAAUACUUGUCUGAUGAAUCAAGCGACAUUUAUUCUAUACUGUCGGGAGAAAAAUUAAGAAAGUCUUCCUUAAGAUGAAUACCAUCCUCCCGUCAAGUGCCUCAAGUGAGAGGCUCUUUUCUAAAGCUAAUUUAGUGCUUCGGCCAAACAGACGUAAAAUGUCUGAUAAAUACUUCUAGAUUCAGCUUCUCUUAAAUGCUAAUGACUGUUUUUAACUAUAGAGGUUUAUUAUAUAAACUAAUUCUAACCGUGUUAGUUUAGAUAUAAAAAUGAAAUAUACCCAAAAUAAGAAAAUCCGAUUUCAAUAGAAUAAAAAGAUUUAAAUUCAUAUAAAAGACUUAAUUAAAUGCAUUAGAAAAACAUAACUCAUAAACCCGUUAGAUAAGAGUAUUUGAAAAAACGACCGUUUAAUGGAGGUAAAACCAGAUUUUGUAUUUUAUUCAAAUUAUACAAAAAGCUGGAAAUGCUCAGUUUUUGCCGUGACAUGCUUUAAACGGUAGACCAAUAGACAUGGUCUAACUGAAAUAAUUAUAAACAUGGCUUGAUCAAGGAAGAAUUUAAUAC
rnacentral:lncRNA from 1 species